AGAAUCAACGCUGGCGGCGUGCCUAACACAUGCAAGUCGAACGAGAAAGUGGAGCAAUCCAUGAGUAAAGUGGCGACCGGGUGAGUAACACGUGACUAACCUACCUUCGAGUGGGGGAUAACCUCGGGAAACCGGGCUAAUACCGCAUAACAUCUUUGGAGUGGAAAUUCUGGAGAUCAAAGGAGCAAUUCGCUGGAAGAGGGGGUCGCGGCUGAUUAGCUAGUUGGCGGGGUAACGGCCCACCAAGGCUUAGAUCGGUA
rnacentral:rRNA from 1 species